GCUCCCGUAGUCUAACUGGAUAGAACACAGGCCUGCGAAGCCUGGGAUCUGGAUUCGACCUCCAGCGGGGGCA
rnacentral:tRNA from 1 species